UAAGACGAAGGGGGCUAGCGUUGUUCGGAAUUACUGGGCGUAAAGCGCGUGUAGGCGGUUGUUCAAGUCAGGUGUGAAAGCCUUGAGCUCAACUCAAGAAAUGCACUUGAUACUGGAUGACUAGAGGACCGGAGAGGAUAGUGGAAUUCCCAGUGUAGUGGUGAAAUACGUAGAGAUUGGGAAGAACACCAGUGGCGAAGGCGGCUAUCUGGACGGUUUCUGACGCUAAGACGCGAAAGCGUGGGGAGCAAACAGGAUUAGAUACCCUGGUAGUCCACGCCGUAAACGAUGGGUGCUAGACGUUGGCGAGCUUGCUCGUCAGUGUCGCAGCUAACGCGUUAAGCACCCCGCCUGGGGAGUACGGCCGCAAGGUU
rnacentral:rRNA from 1 species